GGGUUGUGAGGUUAAGCGACUAAGCGUACACGGUGGAUGCCCUGGCAGUCAGAGGCGAUGAAGGACGUGCUAAUCUGCGAUAAGCGUCGGUAAGGUGAUAUGAACCGUUAUAACCGGCGAUUUCCGAAUGGGGAAACCCAGUGUGUUUCGACACACUAUCAUUAACUGAAUCCAUAGGUUAAUGAGGCGAACCGGGGGAACUGAAACAUCUAAGUACCCCGAGGAAAAGAAAUCAACCGAGAUUCCCCCAGUAGCGGCGAGCGAACGGGGAGCAGCCCAGAGCCUGAAUCAGUGUGUGUGUUAGUGGAAGCGUCUGGAAAGGCGCGCGAUACAGGGUGACAGCCCCGUACACAAAAAUGCACAUACUGUGAGCUCGAUGAGUAGGGCGGGACACGUGGUAUCCUGUCUGAAUAUGGGGGGACCAUCCUCCAAGGCUAAAUACUCCUGACUGACCGAUAGUGAACCAGUACCGUGAGGGAAAGGCGAAAAGAACCCCGGCGAGGGGAGUGAAAAAGAACCUGAAACCGUGUACGUACAAGCAGUGGGAGCACAGAGCAAUCUGUGUGACUGCGUACCUUUUGUAUAAUGGGUCAGCGACUUAUAUUCUGUAGCAAGGUUAACCGAAUAGGGGAGCCGAAGGGAAACCGAGUCUUAACUGGGCGUUAAGUUGCAGGGUAUAGACCCGAAACCCGGUGAUCUAGCCAUGGGCAGGUUGAAGGUUGGGUAACACUAACUGGAGGACCGAACCGACUAAUGUUGAAAAAUUAGCGGAUGACUUGUGGCUGGGGGUGAAAGGCCAAUCAAACCGGGAGAUAGCUGGUUCUCCCCGAAAGCUAUUUAGGUAGCGCCUCGUGAAUUCAUCUCCGGGGGUAGAGCACUGUUUCGGCAAGGGGGUCAUCCCGACUUACCAACCCGAUGCAAACUGCGAAUACCGGAGAAUGUUAUCACGGGAGACACACGGCGGGUGCUAACGUCCGUCGUGAAGAGGGAAACAACCCAGACCGCCAGCUAAGGUCCCAAAGUCAUGGUUAAGUGGGAAACGAUGUGGGAAGGCCCAGACAGCCAGGAUGUUGGCUUAGAAGCAGCCAUCAUUUAAAGAAAGCGUAAUAGCUCACUGGUCGAGUCGGCCUGCGCGGAAGAUGUAACGGGGCUAAACCAUGCACCGAAGCUGCGGCAGCGACGCUUAUGCGUUGUUGGGUAGGGGAGCGUUCUGUAAGCCUGUGAAGGUGUACUGUGAGGUAUGCUGGAGGUAUCAGAAGUGCGAAUGCUGACAUAAGUAACGAUAAAGCGGGUGAAAAGCCCGCUCGCCGGAAGACCAAGGGUUCCUGUCCAACGUUAAUCGGGGCAGGGUGAGUCGACCCCUAAGGCGAGGCCGAAAGGCGUAGUCGAUGGGAAACAGGUUAAUAUUCCUGUACUUGGUGUUACUGCGAAGGGGGGACGGAGAAGGCUAUGUUGGCCGGGCGACGGUUGUCCCGGUUUAAGCGUGUAGGCUGGUUUUCCAGGCAAAUCCGGAAAAUCAAGGCUGAGGCGUGAUGACGAGGCACUACGGUGCUGAAGCAACAAAUGCCCUGCUUCCAGGAAAAGCCUCUAAGCAUCAGGUAACAUCAAAUCGUACCCCAAACCGACACAGGUGGUCAGGUAGAGAAUACCAAGGCGCUUGAGAGAACUCGGGUGAAGGAACUAGGCAAAAUGGUGCCGUAACUUCGGGAGAAGGCACGCUGAUAUGUAGGUGAAGUCCCUCGCGGAUGGAGCUGAAAUCAGUCGAAGAUACCAGCUGGCUGCAACUGUUUAUUAAAAACACAGCACUGUGCAAACACGAAAGUGGACGUAUACGGUGUGACGCCUGCCCGGUGCCGGAAGGUUAAUUGAUGGGGUCAGCGCAAGCGAAGCUCUUGAUCGAAGCCCCGGUAAACGGCGGCCGUAACUAUAACGGUCCUAAGGUAGCGAAAUUCCUUGUCGGGUAAGUUCCGACCUGCACGAAUGGCGUAAUGAUGGCCAGGCUGUCUCCACCCGAGACUCAGUGAAAUUGAACUCGCUGUGAAGAUGCAGUGUACCCGCGGCAAGACGGAAAGACCCCGUGAACCUUUACUAUAGCUUGACACUGAACAUUGAGCCUUGAUGUGUAGGAUAGGUGGGAGGCUUUGAAGUGUGGACGCCAGUCUGCAUGGAGCCGACCUUGAAAUACCACCCUUUAAUGUUUGAUGUUCUAACGUUGACCCGUAAUCCGGGUUGCGGACAGUGUCUGGUGGGUAGUUUGACUGGGGCGGUCUCCUCCUAAAGAGUAACGGAGGAGCACGAAGGUUGGCUAAUCCUGGUCGGACAUCAGGAGGUUAGUGCAAUGGCAUAAGCCAGCUUGACUGCGAGCGUGACGGCGCGAGCAGGUGCGAAAGCAGGUCAUAGUGAUCCGGUGGUUCUGAAUGGAAGGGCCAUCGCUCAACGGAUAAAAGGUACUCCGGGGAUAACAGGCUGAUACCGCCCAAGAGUUCAUAUCGACGGCGGUGUUUGGCACCUCGAUGUCGGCUCAUCACAUCCUGGGGCUGAAGUAGGUCCCAAGGGUAUGGCUGUUCGCCAUUUAAAGUGGUACGCGAGCUGGGUUUAGAACGUCGUGAGACAGUUCGGUCCCUAUCUGCCGUGGGCGCUGGAGAACUGAGGGGGGCUGCUCCUAGUACGAGAGGACCGGAGUGGACGCAUCACUGGUGUUCGGGUUGUCAUGCCAAUGGCACUGCCCGGUAGCUAAAUGCGGAAGAGAUAAGUGCUGAAAGCAUCUAAGCACGAAACUUGCCCCGAGAUGAGUUCUCCCUGACUCCUUGAGAGUCCUGAAGGAACGUUGAAGACGACGACGUUGAUAGGCCGGGUGUGUAAGCGCAGCGAUGCGUUGAGCUAACCGGUACUAAUGAACCGUGAGGCUUAACCUUACAACGCCGAAGCUGUU
rnacentral:rRNA from 1 species